AAUUUUUUUUUUUUUUUUUUUUUUGAGAGAAAGUCUCACUCUGUUGCCCAGGCUAGAGUGCAGUGGUACAGUCUUGGCUCACUGCAACCUCUGCCUCCCAGGUUCAAGCGAUUCUUGUGUCUCAGCCUCCCAAGUAGUUGAGAUUACAGGCACGAGCCACCACACCUGGCGAAUUUUUGUAUUUUUAGUAGAGAGGGGGUUUCACCAUGUUGGCCAGGCUGGUCUCAACUCCUGACCUCAAGUAAUCCACCCAUCUCAGCCUCCCAAAGUGCUGGGAUUACAGGCGUGAGCCACAGCACCUGCCCUGGUUGUCCUACUUUCAAUGAUGCUAAGAUUAAUCAGUGUUUCAGGUGAUAACAGACUGAUCCUUCCAUUGUAAAGCUCCAAUCAACAUUUUGUCUAAUGAUUUUAGCCAUUAAUAAUCAUACCCUAAGUCAAUUACAUGCUGCAAAUGAUGAUUAGAUUCUAUUAUUUUUUCAUUAUCUAUUUUCUUUGACAUUCAUUAGCUUGAAUUCUAUAAAGAAGAACUUUUCCUUCUAAGUUAAGGCUAUGUGGUUACACAUACAUGCCUAAAAGAAAGCAGAAUAAAGAUAAGUAUUUAUUUUGAUUGCCAAAUAUCAGGGUAAGGAGUAACUGACCUAGUUAAUUCUAAUGGUGACCAAAGUGUGAUGACUUUUAAACAUUUUAUUGAUUUUCUUUUUUGUAUCUUUAUAAUUAAUGCAUUUUGAAAUAAAUUCAACACAUUUAAAUCAAUUGCAUUCAGUAUAUGUUUUCUCUUUUGACUCUCAUCUUGCCUCCAGUUUGGCUAAAGAAAGACUUUUUAGGUUAAUUCCUUUGUCCUUUGGGCACAAUCUCAUUAGUCUUUGAUAGCUACCUUGCUUUCUAAGUGAUAUGGUUAGGCUUUGUGUCCCUACCCAAAUCUCAUCUUGAAUUGUAAUCCCCAUAAUCCCCAUCAUCCCCACGUGUAAAGGGAGAGACGAGAUAGAGGUAACAAUCAUGGUGGCAGUUUCUCUCAUGCUGUUCUCAUGAUAGUGAGUUCUCACAAGAUCUGAUGGUUUUAUAAAGAGCUCUUCCCCCUUCACUUGGCAUUGUCCUUCUUGCCACCACUUUGUGAAGAAGGUGCCUUGCUUCCCCUUUGCCUUCUACCAUGAUUUUAAGUUUUCUGAGGCCUCCCCAGCCACACUGAACUGUGAGUCAAUUAAACCUCUUUUCUUCAUAAAUUACCCAGUUUCUGGCAGUUCCUUAUAGCAGUGUGAAAACAGACUAAUACACCAGGGCAACAAACCGUCCCAGGCUCAUCUUAAAUUGCCUAACCUUAAAACUGGAGUCAGGUGUCCCUCCAAAGUUUCCUAGUCAUUGUUAGUGUGGAAUGGUAUUUAGGGAUUAUAGUCUAUAUGCUAAGUAUGCUCAUUUUCAAGGGGUUGUAGAAUAGUUUAUAUUAUUAUCCUCAACUCCUAACUCCCUUCUCAUUUAUUAUUGUAUGAUUUCUAGGGCCUCCCAGCAGGCAGAACACAAUUCUCCAUCCCAGUUCCACGUUUGGCCACGUGAUGUGCUUUGACCAAUGGGCACAUAUCAUGUUAAGUAGAAGCUUUUAGAGCUGUUAAGGACAGAGCUAAGCUUUGUCCUUUGCUUUUCCCUAGGCCACAAGGACAGUCUGUUCCAAACAGGGUCAAUUGCUUCAGCUUGAGUCCUGGAAAAAGAAGAUUGUAGAGAAAAGACUCAGCAGCUGAUCUGGAGCCACCAAAAUGGAAUACAAGCCAAAUAUAUAAUGCAUAUGGUGGCAAACUACUGAGGUUUUUAAGGUUAUCUGUUACUUCUUCAAAGCUGAUUGAUACAGGCUGUGAUGUCUUCUGGGCCUUUUUAGUAGACAGAUAGGAAAAGCAGCUUUGAAAAGAGGAAAGCAUUGUGAGUUCAAACUCAAUUCAAAUAGAACAUUUCCAAAUCAGAUAGAACAUUAUAGGACCUGUACUUAAUUUUUAAAAACUUUAUACAUAUAUCUCUUUUUUCUACACUAAAAAUCUUAAUUUCUAUUUACAUUAGUAUAAUUACUGAUUUGUAUUUCCUAUAAUAUAACAUAGUGUCAAAAUAACAAAAUCAUUAUUUUAAAGUACUAAAGUUUAAAACAUAUUUGUAGCUAUUUUUGUCCUUAAGAUAUAUUCUACUGUUUGGUGGAAUAUUAUGUUUUUAGGUUCAGAUUGAAAUAAUUAUUUCCUUUAUGUGGUUAUAUCACUAAUUUGAUAUACAGUAGGUUCAUUUCCUUAUUUCUUUUUUUUUCUUUUAGAGACAGCAUCUUUCUCUGUCACCCACGCUAGAGUGCAGUAGCACAAUCACAGCUCACCACAGCCUCGAUCUCCCAGGACCAAGCAAACCUCCCACCUCAGCCUCGUGAGUAGCUGAGACUACAGGCAUGCCACCAUGCCCAGCUAAUUUUUAUUUAUUUUUCUUUUUUGUAGAGGCGUGGCCUUCCUAUAUGGCCUAGGCUGGUCUUGAACUCCUGGUCUUAAGCAAUCUUCCUGCCUGGGCCUCCCAAAGUAUGGGGAUUACAAGUGUAAACCACCAUGCCCAGCUCAUAUGUAUUUAGGAAGUUUCACAAUGUGAAGAAAGCGAAGAGUAAAAACAGCAGGUGACUGCAUUGACAAAAUGAAAGCAAGCAAAUUGGACAAACCUAGCAUAAAGAAGACAGACCAGGUUAUGCAUUUUUACUCCUUACAAAUAUAAAGACAAGCCCGUCCUAAAUUAUCCCAGUAGAAAAUUUUGACAACUACAACAAAACAGAAAACCCAACAAAACAAAUAAAAAUUUGAUGCUGAUGACAUGCGAUAAAGAAAAGCAGAGCUCUCCAGUAAAAACCAAAAUUCCUGUCUGUUAAGUUUACAAGGAUUCUUCCUUAGGACUUUCUGAGCCAAGACAAUGGACAGCUAAGAGGGCAGCUCUUGAAAUACUUUCACAGGAUUUGCUUCUCUGCUCAUAAAAUGUAGGAACAAUUCAAACUGGAGAGCAUUUCCUACCCAUUCACUGGCCUGAAGAUUCAUAGAGUAGGGUUUUGUGUUGCUGUCAGCAGGCAUUUAUCUGAGCACACAUCCAUCCAUCCUCCCUCUCUCUCUCUCUCUCCUUCUCUCUCUCUCUCUUUCCCCCCACACCCGAUGCAUGCAUACACUCACACACUUUGGAACUUAGAAGGCCACUCUUCUGAAUAUCAAAUCAAGUAAAAUGACCAUUCUAAGGGUGACAACUCAGGGAAACUCUGGAAACACUGGAAACAAAUACUGAAAAUAAACUUACGUGUGGGAGAGAGAAUAACAUUGAAAGAAGGUAUACAUAGUAACCAAAAGAGCUACUGUUUCAUGUUUAUAGGUUGGGAACUGAACAGAAAGUUGAAAACACAGCACACAUGAUUAAAAAAUUUUUUCCUUAAAAACCAAAGAGCCAUUUUUCUUAAAUUCCUGAUCAGAUUUAAUUAACUACAUUUCAAAUGCAGUCAUGCACUGCAUAAUGACAUUUUGGUCAACAAUGAACCAUAUCAGUGGUCCCACAGAUUAUAAUGGAGCUGAAAAAUUCUUAUCAUCUAGUGAUGCUAUAACGCCCGUACU
ensembl:lncRNA novel transcript, antisense to JAM2